rnacentral:rRNA from 1 species
UACGUAGGGUGCGAGCGUUGUCCGGAAUUACUGGGCGUAAAGGGCUCGUAGGCGGCCAACUAAGUCGGAUGUGAAAUCCCCAGGCUCAACCUGGGAACUGCAUCCGAUACUGGAUGGCUUGAAUCCGGGAGAGGGAUGCAGAAUUCCAGGUGUAGCGGUGAAAUGCGUAGAUAUCUGGAGGAAUACCGGUGGCGAAGGCGGCAUCCUGGACCGGCAUUGACGCUGAGGAGCGAAAGCUGAGGGGAGCAAACGGGG